UACGGAGGGCGCGAGCGUUACUCGGAAUUACUGGGCGUAAAGCGCGCGUAGGCUGUUGUGUAAGUUGGGGGUGAAAUCCCACGGCUCAACCGUGGAACAGCCCUUGAUACUGCGCGACUUGAAUCCGGGAGAGGGUGGCAGAAUUCCAGGUGUAGGAGUGAAAUCCGUAGAUAUCUGGAGGAACAUCAGUGGCGAAGGCGGCCACCUGGACCGGUAUUGACGCUGAGGCGCGAAAGCGUGGGGAGCAAACAGG
rnacentral:rRNA from 1 species